AUUGAACGCUGGCGGCAGGCCUAACACAUGCAAGUCGAGCGAGCGGCGGACGGGUGAGUAAUGUAUGGGGAACUGCCCGAUAGAGGGGGAUAACUACUGGAAACGGUAGCUAAUACCGCAUACCAUCGGAUGUGCCCAUAUGGGAUUAGCUAGUAGGUGGGGUAAUGGCUCACCUAGGCGACGCUCCCUAGCUGGUCUGAGAGGAUGAGCAGCCACACUGGAACUGAGACACGGCCCAGACUCCUACGGGAGGCAGCAGUGGGGAAUAUUGCACAAUGGGCGCAAGCCUGAUGCAGCCAUGCCGCGUGUAUGAAGAAGGCCGUCGGGUUGUAAAGUACUUUCAGCCGGGAGGCGUUACCCGCAGAAGAAGCACCGGCUAACUCCGUGCCAGCAGCCGCGGUAAUAC
rnacentral:rRNA from 1 species